rnacentral:rRNA from 1 species
UACAGAGGUCUCAAGCGUUGUUCGGAUUCAUUGGGCGUAAAGGGUGCGUAGGCGGCGGAGCAAGUCAGGUGUGAAAUCCCGGAGCUCAACUCCGGAACUGCAUUUGAUACUGCUUCGCUAGAGUACUGGAGAGGAGACUGGAAUUUACGGUGUAGCAGUGAAAUGCGUAGAUAUCGUAAGGAAGACCAGUGGCGAAGGCGAGUCUCUGGACAGUUACUGACGCUGAGGCACGAAGGCCAGGGGAGCAAACGGG